GAUGAAGAACGUAGCGAAAUGCGAUAAGUAAUGUGAAUUGCAGAAUUCAGUGAAUCAUCGAAUCUUUGAACGCAUCUUGCGCUCCUUGGCAUUCUGAGGAGCAUGCCUGUUUGAGUGUCAUUAAAUUCUCAACUACACUGACUUUGAAUUGGUGUGGCUUGGAUUUGGGGGGAAAAUUGUUGUGGGCUUUUUGUAUAGUCUGCUCCCCUGAAAUUGAUUAGCGGUACCUUUGUGGAACUGUCUACAGGUGUGAUAAUUAUCUACAUCUUAGACAUCUGCUGGAAUGCUGCUUUCUAAACCUUACUUGUAUUGACAAUCUUGACCUCAAAUCAGGUAGGACUACCCGCUGAACUUAAGCAUAUCAAUAAGCGGAGGA
rnacentral:misc_RNA from 1 species